rnacentral:tRNA from 12 species
GCCCCCUUCGUCUAGCGGCCCAGGACCCCGCCCUUUCACGGCGGUAGCGCCGGUUCGAAUCCGGUAGGGGGUA